rnacentral:rRNA from 1 species
GACGAACGCUGGCGGCGUGCUUAACACAUGCAAGUCGAACGGUAAGGCCUUUCGGGGUACACGAGUGGCGAACGGGUGAGUAACACGUGGGUGAUCUGCCCUGCACUUCGGGAUAAGCCCGGGAAACUGGGUCUAAUACCGGAUAGGACUGCGCGGUGCAUGCCGUGUGGUGGAAAGAUUUAUCGGUGCAGGAUGGGCCCGCGGCCUAUCAGCUUGUUGGUGGGGGAAUGGCCUACCAAGGCGACGACGGGUAGCCGGCCUGAGAGGGCGACCGGCCACAAUGGGACUGAGACACGGCCCAGACUCCUACGGGAGGCAGCAGUGGGGAAUAUUGCACAAUGGGCGCAAGCCUGAUGCAGCGACGCCGCGUGAGGGAUGACGGCCUUCGGGUUGUAAACCUCUUUCAGCAGGGACGAAGCGUGAGUGACGGUACCUGCAGAAGAAGCACCGGCCAACUACGUG